CAAUAGCGUAUUUUAAAGUUGUUGCAGUUAAAAAGCUCGUAGUUGGAUUUCUGGUUGAAGCGACCGGUCGGGCGUUGAUUCGUCUGCACUGGAGUCGGUUUUGGCCAUCCUCUAGGAAAGUGCGUCUGGUAUUAAGUUAUCGGGCGUAUGAUCCUGGUCUUUUACUGUGAAAAAAUUAGAGUGUUUAAAGCAGGCCUUCGCCUUGAAUACAUUAGCAUGGAAUAAUAAGAUAGGACUUUGGUCUAUUUUGUUGGUUUGCAGACCGAAGUAAUGAUUAAUAGGGAUAGUUGGGGGUAUUUAUAUUCCGAUGUCAGAGGUGAAAUUCUUAGAUUUUCGGAAGAUAAACUUAUGCGAAAGCAUUUACCAAGGAUGUUUNCAUUAA
rnacentral:rRNA from 1 species